rnacentral:rRNA from 1 species
UACGAAGGGGGCUAGCGUUGCUCGGAAUCACUGGGCGUAAAGCGCACGUAGGCGGACUCUUAAGUCGGUGGUGAAAUCCUGGAGCUCAACUCCAGAACUGCCUUCGAUACUGAGAGUCUUGAGACCGGGAGAGGUGAGUGGAAUUCCCAGUGUAGCGGUGAAAUGCGUAGAUAUUGGGAGGAACACCAGUGGCGAAGGCGGCUCACUGGACCGGUACUGACGCUGAGGCGCGAAAGCGUGGGGAGCAAACAGG